rnacentral:rRNA from 1 species
UUGUUGCAGUUAAAAAGCUCGUAGUUGGAUUUCGGAGUGGGCCAGUUGGUCCGCCGCAAGGUGUGUUACUGACUGGUUUGCUCUUCUGCGCAAAGACUGCGUGUGCUCUUUGUUGAGUGUGCGUAGGAUUUACGUCGUUUACUUUGAAAAAAUUAGAGUGUUCAAAGCAGGCUAUUGCUUGAAUACAUGAGCAUGGAAUAAUGGAAUAGGACUUUGGUCCCAUU